rnacentral:rRNA from 1 species
GGGGUCGGGGCGGCAGUCUACACAUGCAGUCGAGCGGAUGAAGGGAGCUUGCUCCUGGAUUCAGCGGCGGACGGGUGAGUAAUGCCUAGGAAUCUGCCUGGUAGUGGGGGAUAACGUCCGGAAACGGGCGCUAAUACCGCAUACGUCCUGAGGGAGAAAGUGGGGGAUCUUCGGACCUCACGCUAUCAGAUGAGCCUAGGUCGGAUUAGCUAGUUGGUGGGGUAAAGGCCUACCAAGGCGACGAUCCGUAACUGGUCUGAGAGGAUGAUCAGUCACACUGGAACUGAGACACGGUCCAGACUCCUACGGGAGGCAGCAGUGGGGAAUAUUGGACAAUGGGCGAAAGCCUGAUCCAGCCAUGCCGCGUGUGUGAAGAAGGUCUUCGGAUUGUAAAGCACUUUAAGUUGGGAGGAAGGGCAGUAAGUUAAUACCUUGCUGUUUUGACGUUACCAACAGAAUAAGCACCGGCUAACUUCGUGCCAGCAGCCGCGGUAAUACGAAGGGUGCAAGCGUUAAUCGGAAUUACUGGGCGUAAAGCGCGCGUAGGUGGUUCAGCAAGUUGGAUGUGAAAUCCCCGGGCUCAACCUGGGAACUGCAUCCAAAACUACUGAGCUAGAGUACGGUAGAGGGUGGUGGAAUUUCCUGUGUAGCGGUGAAAUGCGUAGAUAUAGGAAGGAACACCAGUGGCGAAGGCGACCACCUGGACUGAUACUGACACUGAGGUGCGAAAGCGUGGGGGAGCAAACAGGAUUAGAUACCCUGGUAGUCCACGCCGUAAACGAUGUCGACUAGCCGUUGGGAUCCUUGAGAUCUUAGUGGCGCAGCUAACGCGAUAAGUCGACCGCCUGGGGAGUACGGCCGCAAGGGUUAAAACUCAAUGAAUUGACGGGGGCCCGCACAAGCGGUGGAGCAUGUGGUUUAAUUCGAAGCAACGCGAAGAACCUUACCUGGCCUUGACAUGCUGAGAACUUUCCAGAGAUGGAUUGUGCCUUUCGGGACUCAGACACAGGUGCUGCAUGCUGUCGUCAGCUCGUGUCGGGAGAAUGUGGUAAGGUCCGUACGAGCGCAUCCGUGUUCCUAGUUACAGCACCUUCGGUGGGCACUCUAAGAAACUGGCGUAACAAAUGAGAAGCUGGGAUUGACGUCAGUCAUCUUGCUUACGCAGGCUACACGGUGGCUACACACGUGCUACAAUGGUCGGUACAAAGGGUUGCCAAGCCGCGAGGUGGAGCUAAUCCCAUAAAACCGAUCGUAGUCCGGAUCGCAGUCUGCAACUCGACUGCGUGAAGUCGGAAUCGCUAGUAAUCGUGAAUCAGAAUGUCACGGUGAAUACGUUCCCGGGCCUUGUACACACCGCCCGUCACACCAUGGGAGUGGGUUGCUCCAGAAGUAGCUAGUCUAACCGCAAGGGGGACGGUACCACGAGAUCCUUGCCAA